UGGACUUCCAUUUAUUCAUUGCUGUUAUGAAAGCUUCUGAUUAAUAUUUGGAGCUCUACAGUUUUACAGAUGUACACUGCUGUAUGUAUUGUAUUGCAGUCACUUUGUUAAGGGAGCCAGACAGGGUAACUUCAGAAAUGUAAAUUUAUGGCUUAUUAGACCAUUUUUAUUUUAAAAAGUGCAGAACUGCAAAUACACUGGAAAACAUUGAUGUAUUAAUAUUGCUUGAUAGUCCUUUGAUAGCACCGUACUAAAUAUAACAUGCAAAGGUAAAAGAGAGGUUUUUACCAUUUUUUGCUUAUGAUGUAUAAGACUUCCUGAAAGGGUGUUUUGGGGGGAUUACUUGUGUGAUUGAGUUUGGGGGGGUUUACAUGCUUGAAUAUUUGGGGGGAAAGAGAGGACUGUUUCUACUGCCUUUUUUUUUUUUUCCACAUGGGGCUUGAAUUCUCCUGAGAGGUCUGCCUGCCCCUGGAUCCGCACCCGUGCCCCGACCCACAAGCUGAUGCCCUGGGCUGAGGGCUGCCCCCAGCUGCCCCCCAGCCUGCCCAGCUCCCUGGCCACCCUGGAGAACCCCGCAGCUUCAUGGCCUAAGACCUCAGGUCAACCUCAAGCAUUCCCUGAGCCCCGGCAGCCAAACCUUCAGGAGGGCGGAUGCUCUUAGGGCCCCAAGAGACUAGAGAGCUGGUAAGAUCAUGACAGUAUGUUUGCUGUGCAAAUGAAACCAGAUGGGAGGAUGAGCACAUCUUAUGCAGAUCACAAGCUGUUUUCACUCGAGCUAACUGGAUGUGAAUAAAAACAAACCCAGGAAAACCCUUCUUGGUGAGGGGAGAAGCAGCGUGUUAGUGAAGAUGGACAACCCAUGUACCUUCGGCAGAGGGAGGAAAGGGUAUGUACUGAGAACUCCAGGAAAGAAAAACAAGAACUAGCUUCACCCUGCCAAUACUUCUAAAAAUGAAAAAGGAGAAGGAGAAAUGAGCAAUGUGUCAGCCUUCAACAUUGACUUAUGAACAAGGGCUUGACCUGCAGAGUGUUGGGCGAAGAGUGGGGAUCCAGGGUCUCGCAGCAGCUCUGCAGGGCGUGAAUCACAACCUGAGCAUGAGUCAACAGGACCUGGCUGUUGUGAAAAUGUUAAAUGUCAGUACGAGGAUGUUUAUACAGAACUAUAACUUAUAAAACACAUGAAGCAAUCCUUCAGCUCCACUCAGUGCUUGUAAGGCCUCAGCUAGAGCAGUGUGUCAAACACUGAGCAACUUUUUUCCUCUUCAAGGGAAACAUGAAGUAGCUGUAGGGAAGCCAAGCAGAGAGAAUAAAGAAUUAUGAGAAGUUUGGAAGAGCCUGUCCUCACAGGUCAUGUUAGAGAUCAUGUAGUGUUCAGUGUGAACAACAGACCAAAGGGGACACAAAAAUUUGGUUUUCUGUAAGAAGCAUAUUUUGCAAAAAAGGAAUUUAUCCAUAUAAGUAGGACAAGAAUAAUAGGCUUAAUUGCAGCUUGAGAGAAUUAAGUUAGAUAUUGGGAAAAACAUUCUAGGCACAGGAAUGGUUACAAGCAGGGAGAGAUGGUCUGAUGAAGCUGUCAAAAACCUCUGUUAUGAGAGAUUUUUAAAGACUGUUUUAAAUAAAUAGGGGCCAAGAAAACACUGAGGCGGGAUGCACUACAUGAGCUUUGGGGCCCGUUCUCAUUCUGUUUCUGUGUGAUUCCCAGCUUGUGAGAACUAAACUUGGCUGACACAUGGUUUUCCCCAUACAGACUAAUUCCAAACUGAUGGUACUGGACAAACGGGUCAGCAGUCAUCAAAAUCACAGCCAGAAAUACUCUCUAUUCCAGCAACAGAAGCUUUUUGUGUAGUGUGGGCUGAACUCCAGUAAAAUCCUGUGAAUUAAACCCUGUUGCAUUAAAGUGACAUUGAUUUCAGAAUUUUGUUCUGUGACAAAUCCAAAUUUGAGAUUUUCUGGUUUUCAUGUCUAUCUUUCUUAGGCAGUUAAAUGAAUGCAGCCCUUCUAAUAAUCCAGGCGCAUUAGGUGAAGUAAAUCCUCUUUUGGCAAUUAUCUGAAGACACCUAUUGAGUUCAAGGAAAAACAGCAGCUCAGGCACUGGAGCGCAGAGACCAUUGUCAUGUUUAUGCAAAACUUGCUUCCCAUGCCCCAAAAGCUGUUUGUUCCUCUUUGUGCUAUGCUGCAGAUGGUAGCACAGCUUACCACAUCAGCUCUCAGAGGAGGAGUAGCAAAGAUGAGAGAAGCACAUCUCAGGCUCCUGUUCUUGGUCUCCCAUGGAUUCCCUGGGAGGACUCAGAGGCAGGAAGAACUAGAAAGCAAGUAAACAUCUGCCCCAAACCCAGGAGCAUCUUCCAUUGUUAAGGGCAUGUCCACUCCCUUCGACACAGUUCCCAAAGGAACUGCACUACGGCAGAGGGGAGAUAGGCCCUGCUUUGCCUAUCACUCUCCCAGGCCAGGGUUUGCAGCCAGAAUAAUAGACAGACAAAUCCUUCUCCCCCAGAAUAAUGUAUAUAACUUACUUCAUGCGUUAUAGAUUUCUCUUGUCACUACUAUUAUAUAGUAGCAUACAGCCCAUUCUUCCAGCCCUGCCUUUUCCAGGACAGUAAGAUACGUUAUUUAACAAUAACAGAAAGGGCAUUAACUUGAGAUUAGAUUAUUUGCUGUCCAGGUGUCAGAGCAGACUUUAAAUAAUUCACAUCAUAGCCCUCCAUACAGAAAUUGGAUGGAUAAGGCUGACUGGGAUUCCUGAAGCAGCUUUCCUCAGCAAGACAAAGGGCCUGUCCUUCAGGGCAGGAGGAGCUGCUACGUGGGGACAUUUUGUAACCCAGGAAAACUGAAUUCACCUGAUAAAAUAUAUUAAACAGAAACUUUGAGAAGGAAGAAGAGACACUUAAAUUUUAAUAAAGUCCAGGGGACAUUGAUAAGUUCCCCGUGCUCUCCAGUAAGAAUAGUGGGAGCUGUUUUCUUAAUACAGCUGGUUCAAAAGAAAGUCAAGAGGCAGGGAGGGAAGAGAAGCUUCCCAGUUUGGGGGUCCAGCAGCUCUUCUCCAUCACCUCUGCAUUUCAGUGGUCAGACUCGUUCUGUUUGCAGUAAGGGCCUUGGUUUUGGUUUGGAUCCACUUUUUCCAUUUUACUGUGUUUACCUUCUGUUUCCCCUCUGCUUAGCCUUCUACUGUCUUUCUCUUUUUUCUGUAACUAAUACUGUUGUUCCAGUUUCAUCCUGCCACCUCGGUCAUGCUGGGAAGCGAAACAAGUUGUUUAAUUGCAGUGCAGUACCCAGCAGGACACGUCCCCUCCCUCAUAUAAGGUUGCUCUUAUUUGCCUUCUUCACUUAUGUUCUCAGCAGAGAGGACAAGAAGGGACAUGGAACUCCUCACUCUGCUGACAAAUGGUCCAUGAAAAUGGUUAGAGAGCGACACUGAGGGGAGCCCACAUUGCUACACGCAUGAUAUAUCUAUAUGCCUUGGUCCCAAGCCUGUCAGCUCACGAUCUUUCAUUGGCCCAGAAUUCACAGGUGCACGUGAAUGCUCCUAUACAAACACAGGAGCCAAGAUUUUUAAGAAUUAGCUAAUAUUUUAGGGUGUUUCAAGGUAAGACAUUUUAAAGAGACCCUCGUUUCUGAAACUGGUGAGCUCACAGCUUCAGAAAAUGGGCACUGAUACAGUGCAGUUAGGGAGCACAGGGUGCACAGCAGGUCACUUCAUCUAUCCGCUUCCUGGUGCCAGUAUGGAUUUCUUGUCCCCAGGAUAACUGCUCGAACUAAAGAGUUGCCAGUUGCUGAACUGUCACGUUCACAUCUUUUCCUUUUUUUAACCUAAUUAGGCUAGAUUUAUUUUUAACGCUCCUUAUUACCAUCCGCUUCUGACUUCCAUCCAUCUACUGCUGAGUACAUGCUGCUCUUGCCAAAGCAAGUGUCUUUCAGCAGCUAGCUCAGCCCCCUGGAACUUUACCACCCUGCAGGAGAUCACACUUGCCACCACUGUCCCUUCCAUUAAUUCCAUGGCAGCACAUGCCGUUUGUCUGCCUUGUUCAGUGCUCUCGUGUUAAUAACUGUGCAACUGGUUGUUAUUUCUUUCAUAACCAUUACCAUAGCUGCCUGUUGUUGAUAAUUCAGGGUUAAUUACUUACUAAAAAGUUUAGCAGAACAAUUUAGCUUCGCUUAGCCUGUUCAUUGAUGAAGACUAUAAAUGCCUGCAGUCUAUCACUGAUAGAGACAUUACUGGAGUUUGGUAUAAUUGGCUUUUACUGAAGUGCUGAAGCAAAAAUGAGGGUUAGGCUAACUGGCAAAGUCAGCAGCCUGCUUGUACACCUACUUGGUUUUCCAUUCAAUUUUGGGCAACCACUUGGCAGGAGAACUGCCACAGUAACUUACCAGGUUCACCUAUGUAUCCAUUCACAUUGCAGCAGCGUGCAGCGUAGAUACAGCUACGGAAGUGCUGAAGCCUGGCAUUAAAAAGGACAUCAUGGCAGCUGUAAAGAGUCCAGCAUUUCAGUUACACGUACAGCGCUGGGCUGAUUUAUCACACAUACAUCUUACUGUAGAUAGACAUACCUACAACAAGACUUAAAUGAUAACGUUCCCUCUGUUUUAUGGAAAAAGUGGGGGAAAAAUUGCCAAGAAGAAUCGUCAUUAAAGGUAAUGUCUCUCCAGUCAGUUUUCUGUGGUCUGGCAGUCUCCUGUUCGCUGAAAUUUUGAAUCUAGGAGUUGUUACAGACAGAAAGCUGUGGAUAUAUGCACUGCUUUCAGUUUCCAGUGAAAUGGAUGGGAACUGGGACCCCUUUCGGCAAUGAGCUCUUUCUGACCAUGCAGUUGGGAGUCCCCAUCUCCUGAUUCCCAGCAGCAGAAGAAAGGCCAUGUGCUCCCACCCAAGGGAAGGUGGGGUUUAGCAUUACACUCCUUUAGAGCAAAACUGGACUCUGGAAACUUCACCCAGCUCUCUGAUUUUACUUGCAUUACACUAUUUGCAGUGAAUUGAGGCUGACUGUGUGCAUUGUGGUACUCUGCAUUCAUUUAAAGCCUUCACAACAUAGGGCUGUGCAACAGGUCAUCAAUAGCCUUUGGCUGCUCUAGGCACUGACAAGCAAGUGAAAGCAAGACAGUUCCCCUCUUAGACACUUUUUAAAUCCAGCAUGGUGUUGUCUUCAUCUUUGGAUGCCUAAGUAUCCUAAAUAUGCCUAAAUAUCUUCAUAUUAAAUUAUGAGCAAGAAAGUGAUUAAUUGUUCCCUGACCUUCAAUUUCUUCACUGAGACUGUGUCACCAAACCAUAUUUUAUGUCACUAGGAGACAGCAGAUGUAAAUCAAAUAUCUGCCUGCUCUAGAAUAUCUAACAAGGGAGGAAAUUACUUCCAUCCGUUAACGCAGACAGAUUUUCUUGAGAGGAUUUUCUGCCUUCCGAAUUCAGUUUUAAAAUGCGAUUUCAUCCUCACAGGUCUGCCUGUUGGUUUCCAGCACAAGGGGCAUUGCCUCAGUUGGUUUGCAGCGCUGGCAAGAACAACAACCUGCCACUCUCUCUCAUCUUCUAAAUGCUUUUUUUCACUACAUAAUGUAAAAACUAUAAAUAAUUUAUAAAAAAAAACCCAACACCCAAGAUAAACUUAGAUUUUGGGUUUCUUCAGAAGGAAAGGUAGUGGGUAUACUUGCUCAAGAAAUUAAAUUAUAAUUAGCUCAAAAGAAGGCUGAACCCCAUACACUUUAUUUCUGUGGUCCAAGACUGAACACGCAGUAAGUAGAGAGGGGACUUUUUUCCCAAAUAAUCAGCAAGAAAUGACAGCGGGCCUUGGGUCUCUGAGAACACCUGUGUUUGCAGCACACAACAUCUGCACAUCCUGUAGCCACAUCUGUGGCUGCCACGAGAACUGGGAGGCUAGUUCUCCCUUUGCAUGCAAUGGGGAGAGAGCAGUGCUCUGACCCCGUGCCGACUUGUGCCAUCCACGUUGCUGCUCCUGCUUGCUCAGGUAUGCUGGGCACUGCAGCCCCCACUGAACCUGGUAUAUUUACAGUCUGUGGCAGAAUGGGCCUCCCCCUUUGGCAGUGCUUUGUAAUUUCCUUUCCUCAGUUUGUCCUCUUAGGAUUUUGCAUCAGCAGCAUUCAACGCUGUCAGAUCAUUGUUAUCAGCAUGUUCUUCAGGCCUAGCUGUAUGAGGUAGUGAGUAUUUUCAACUCUCAUCAGCUCCAAAGCAAGUACCAUUGAAAACUAAAGAAAUUUAAAAAAACCUUAAACAAAAAAAUCAAGCUUAGGAGUAGCCUCAUUGUUGUGUUGUCCCUGUGCAUUCAUUUUUCUGUUCAGAUUAGUCAUGCACUGGCAGAACAGGAAGUUCACAACAGGGCAGCCAAAUCUCAUGUUCAGAAUUAGGACCCUGGAAGGAAAAACCAGCAUGUAAACUAGAAAAAUAUUAGCCCAUGAUUGCACUGAAAUCUCAAAGCUUAAUGCAAGAUGUGUUCAUAAGUGCUUUUGCUGGAAAGAAACAGCCUCUGCCAUGGAAUUACAUAUUUAAGCUCUGUGGAAAAGAUUUGUUUACUGAGUGACAAAGGCAUACACCCUAGGCGGCUGGUCAGAGAGAGUGCUAUGUAAUCAUCACAGGCUGCAACACAAAAAGAACAGUUUGAAGACCUUUGACAUUUGAUUAGUAUGUUUCUCUUUUACAGAGUGAAGAGAGUUUGGACCUUAAAAGGAAAAUGAGCCAAGGCUUUAAUUAGUGGGGCCACAGAGAAAGAAAUGAAGAAUGACUGGAGAGAGCAGUGAGACCCCAGUCAAUGUGAUUACCUGCUGUGGGGCAGGAGGCUGAGUGGCAGGUCACCUCUCUGGAGAGGGCUGCAGUGGCAGGACACCGCCGGGAAGCACGGCCUCCGGCACAGCUCCGUGGUGGGCAGGUCCGGCUAUCUGCACCGCUCUGGGGCCUCUCCUGCCCUGGGCAUAGGUGCCACACACAGCAGCAGCAGAGGGGCUGCCAGCCAGCCUGGGAACUCGCACGGCCACCCAGUAGUUUCUCCUCUUGAAUCUGGGUAGAUUACUUCCUCCUGAUUCUUGGUAAAAAUGUGAUCCAGUAUUGAGACCUCAGGUUAUCAUUCUGAUGCCUGCAAGCAUCUUUCCAUGUGAAAAAAAUGUUGAGGACUUUUUCUCCAGGAUACUACGUGCUUUGCUAAUAAACCACUUUGGAGAUCCUUAAAAGAAUAAUGUUCCUGGGGGCGGAAGAAGUGAUGUGCUGGUUUUACGCUCUCCUCACCCUUUGUGUUUUUGAGUGGCACAACAUGACAUGUUGCAAUUCAUCUGUCAUUUUCACAUUUGGAGAAGUGGUCAGAAUGGAGCAAUCCAGCCAUCCCAGCUGAAUACACUGUUAACUGACAGAUGUCUCGAGUCCAACAGGAGUUGCGAGGCUGUUGUGGAGGUGCUGACUUUUAAAUUCCAACUGCAUGCAGAACCUUGGCAUAUUGUCAGCAUGUACAAUUUUCAAUUUCACGGGACAUUUCUUUGAGUGUUACCAGUGGAUUUUGUUUUACCUUCAUCCUCCCUUUUUGGUAACACUGCAGGAAUUAUUUCUUGGGGCCCUCUCCUGUCUCACCUGAUACUGCACACACUAUGUGAUUCCUGGGGGAUUUCUGCGGGCAGAGACCUGAGCUUGCACGAGUGCACACGUAGCUACACUCACAUACAAAUGCCGGACAACUCAGUAACAUGAAAGCUGUCACAGGCCAUUUUACUACAGUCCUAACGAUUGAAAGGUAUUUACGUUAGUAUAAAACCAGGUUUCAGCUCCGGUCAGCUUUUCUUUGCAGAAUACGGGGAACAGCUGCCAGGCUGGCGGGCGCUGCCUGAACAAAGGUCUCCUUCUACUCUGAGUGGCCUCGGGGGGAAGCUGCUGCUGCAUCUGGCUGGCCUGGCAGCAGAGCCCAAAAUAGGGAUUUGCCCUGUACAGCUGUGGAGGUCAGACAAUCCAGGGCUGUAUUUUAUAUAUGUAUAUUUUAAGUGUGGGAGUACAUUUUUCUCCUACAACCUACUCAGACCACGGAGAGAAGCAGAGAGGGCUGAAUCAGUUCCUCAGACACUACCCUUUUGCAUAUUUUUACCUUAUUUUUAAGUAUCCAAAGCAGGGUAAGCACAGCUCUGAGCUUUUUUACCAAGAUCUGACCACUCUAAUUUCAAGAGCUGAAACUUCGGUUUCAAUGUGUUAAAAUGAAAAUAUCGGCAUUUUCAAGCUAAAAUGUAACAUGUUGAAUUAUUAUUACAUCGAGACUGAUACAGCACUUUCAUCAAUUGAUCAAACUUUGCUUAGUUAGACUACUGAACUUGCUUUUCUCUUUGCUCAAAUUAGCACAGUCAUAUUUGUAAUUGAACUCAGUGGUAGCCAAGGCUAUAAAGGCAUAUAAAUGCAAAUACCUGCCUCUCCAAAGUCUUCAGUCUCGCUAAUAAUGAAGCUCACAGAAGCACAUUCAGAUCAAAAUCGAUGCUAGCUAAACCAGGAAAAAAUUCACUUACAGAGGCUCAUUUUGGAUCCUUCUACAUGCAUAAAGGGAGAGUAAUUAUCUUUGUACAUGUAGAAAUUUAUCUUUUCUUAUUGUAUCCAUUCUGUGGACAAACUGUUGAGUUCACUGCUUUGAUAAAAGCUUUCUAAAACACUUCAAUAAUUCCCCAAACACUCAACACAACCCACACUGGCUUUUUCUUUUUUUUUUUUUAAAGCUGGAGGUUUAUUAAGAAGAUCACAGAUUUUCCUAUGUUUGUUGUGAAAUCCAUGUGGGAAAAAAAUCACAUAAUUCUUGGUAUUUAAUAUGAUAAUUGUAACUGAGACUCAUAAGGUAAAGGAACUUAAUGUCAUUACCUAUGCAAGAUACGAAAAUGUGUGUCUCCAGAAAUAAUGACCUUAUUACAGCGUUGAUCUUGUGUGGGUGGAAGCUUGCUUUAGAAGAAGCCUGUGGGAAAUGAUCAUGUAUUUCACCUGCCUGUUGUACAUUAUAGGUGAGCCCAGAGGUACAAUAAGAUACACAUUUGGUAAGUGUCUUACAUGUAAGAAAUCAGUAAUUUAAUGCAUUAAUCACUAGAGUGCAAUUAUAGACCUUAAUUUAUAAGAUAUUAGUCAUUCGCCAUAGAUAACCUUCAGUGGCUAUUAGAAUUUCAUAGUCUGAGUUCAUUACAACUGGCAAAUGUCUUUUGCCCAAUCAGCACACACAAGGGCUUGUUCUUUGGCUGGAAGCACAUUUUUUCAGUAUUAAAUCCACUCCAUUAAAUACGAGAGAGCACCUGUUUGGGUCUUAUUUCAAUAAAGAAUAUAUCCUAGCUGCAUUUUAAGGGGGCUUAUAAAGAUUGCACGUUAUUAAUGUAUUUUAUUACCAUGUUUAAAACUGAGUGAGAUACACUGGAAAUAUUACAAGCACAUCAGCAGAAGACAUCACAGCGAGUGAUAAACCGUGGCAAUAAAAAGCCUAUUAACCUGUUGCAGUCUUUGUCAAAAUAUGAGACUGUCCUGGUUUUGGCUGGGAUAGAGUUAAUUUUCUUCCUAGUAGCGAGUAUAGUGCCGUGUUUUGGAUUUAGUAUGAGAAGAAUGUUGAUAACACACUGAUGUUUUCAGUUGUUGCUAUGUAGUGUUUAGACUAAGUCAAGGAUUUUUCAGCUUCUCAUGCCCAGCCAGCAAGAAGGCUGGAGGGGCACAAGAGGUUGGGAGGGGACACAGCCGGGAGAGCUGACCCAAACUGGCCAAAGGGGUAUUCCAUACCAUGUGACAUCAUGCCCAGUAUAUAAACUGGGGGGACUUGGCCUGGGGGGGUGGAUUGCUGCUCGGGAACUGACUGGGCAUCAGUCAACCAGUGGUGAGCAACUGCACUCUGCAUCACUUGUUUUGUAUAUUCUAAUUCUUUUAUUAUUAUUAUUGUUGUCAUUUUAUUAUUGUCAUCAUUAUUUUCUUCCUUUUCUGUCCUAUUAGACUGUUCUUAUCUCAA